GACGAACGCUGGCGGCGUGCCUAAUACAUGCAAGUCGAACGAGAGCGCCCGGUGCUUGCACUGGUCAAUCUAGUGGCGAACGGGUGAGUAACACGUGGGUAACCUGCCCAUCAGAGGGGGAUAACAUCCGGAAACGGAUGCUAAAACCGCAUAGGUCUUCGAGCCGCAUGGCUUGAAGAGGAAAAGAGGCGCAAGCUUCUGCUGAUGGAUGGACCCGCGGUGCAUUGGCUAGUUGGUGAGGUAACGGCUCACCAAGGCCGUGAUGCAUAGCCGACCUGAGAGGGUGAUCGGCCACAUUGGGACUGAGACACGGCCCAAACUCCUACGGGAGGCAGCAGUAGGGAAUCUUCCGCAAUGGACGCAAGUCUGACGGAGCAACGCCGCGUGAGUGAAGAAGGUUUUCGGAUCGUAAAACUCUGUUGUUAGAGAAGAACAAGUGCUAGAGUAACUGUUAGCGCCUUGACGGUAGCUAACCAGAAAGCCACGGCUAACUACGUG
rnacentral:rRNA from 1 species